UGAAAAAAAACAACAUCAACGUCAACAAACCGGACUGCUUGCCAGCGAUGAAAGGCUUUAUGCUUGAUACCAAUCAAUUUUCCUCCUAAAGCGGACCCGCACCUAUAACUGCGGACAUGUGGAAGCUUUUCGACGGGGAUUGAUGCACGUCCAGAAGGCAACGAGCUCUUUUUAGCUGGCGGCUCUUCUUGUGAAGGGUCUACCGCCACUAAUGACAUUCCUUGAGCUGGCGGGCGGAUCCUGCAGCGUUCGCCGACGAAACUUAGUCGGCGCUCCGUCAACGGGACGAUGCGGGAAGAUGUCCUGUUUAGCGAGAACGAUGGCUUGCUGGACGGCUAGAUGGCCGUAGACAAAAAAAAAAAUUCGAACCUCCUCUUGCCGUCCAUUGCCAUCUUGCGUCCAAUCACAGCCGCCAGACCUAACUACCAGAGAAAAAAAACUCGAAAUUCGCGAGACUUCUCCGCGGCUUCGAGCAUGCGAGGAAAUACGAAAAAGGACUGUCGCAGUUUUUCUUCUUUUCUUAUAUGCCAACUUCUGAUUGCGUCUAUUAUAACAACAGACAAUUCAAUGCA